CCGACGCACGGAGCCAGUCGUGGUCGUGCCCUAGCAGAGACUUGCCGACGCCAUUGCCGCCAGCGACGCCGAGCGCCUCUGCACAGCGCCGUCGCCGUCCGGAAUUUGUUGCCGGCUUCUCCUCUACCCCACCACCUCUGUGCCCUAGCUUGAAGCCGACGGCCACGGUUUAAUCUCUCCGGCGACCAUUUUUGGUUGCUGUCCUUGCUAUUUCCUAGUGCCGGCAGCCGACCACUUUGCCCUAGAUUCCUUCACACAGUAACCAUAGUGCUCUGCUCACUUUGGUGCCCUAAUUGUGAUCUGGAAGGAAGGGAGGUUUUGUGAUUGUGAAGAUGCUCUUUGGUUCCAGUAGUGCAGAUUCUUGAUUGUGGAUCGAAGGAUAAGGACUGUGAGGUGAAAUUUAGUGCUGUAGAUCAACAAGUGCGGUUGUGAGAUUCUGUUCUGUUCUCUUCUGUGGUGUUCUUGAUUUCAGCUCACUUUGUUCAAGCAACACUCCUUUCCGCCAGUUCCUCUUUGGCUGCUGAUUAAGAACAGAAAUCUGUGAUUUGAGGUCUUUGACGCGAGACGGGUAUCUCGAUUAUUGGAUUGGA